rnacentral:misc_RNA from 1 species
GAUGAAGAACGCAGCGAAAUGCGAUAAGUAGUGUGAAUUGCAGAAUUCAGUGAAUCAUCGAAUCUUUGAACGCACCUUGCGCCCUUUGGUAUCCCGAAGGGCAUGCCUGUUUGAGUGUCAUGAAACCUCACCCCACUUGGGUUUUUGCCUGAGCGGUGGUGUAUUGGGUGUUGCCUUGCUAAAGGCUCGCCUUAAAGACAUAAGCACCUUGGAUGUAAUACGUUUCAUCCUUCUGGGUGGCUGAUAACCCCACAUAUUCAUGAUCUGGCCUCAAAUCAGGUAGGGCUACCCGCUGAACUUAAGCAUAUCAAUAAGCGGAGGA